rnacentral:rRNA from 1 species
GAUGAACGCUAGCUACAGGCUUAACACAUGCAAGUCGAGGGGUAACAAGAGAAAAGCUUGCUUUUCUUGUUGACGACCGGCGCACGGGUGAGUAACGCGUAUCCAACCUGCCUAUAACUAGGGAAUAACCUUGCGAAAGUAAGACUAAUACCCUAUGAUUUCCUUUGAUGACAUCGGAUUAGGAAUAAAGAUUUAUCGGUUAUAGAUGGGGAUGCGUCUGAUUAGCUUGUUGGCGGGGUAACGGCCCACCAAGGCGACGAUCAGUAGGGGUUCUGAGAGGAAGGUCCCCCACAUUGGAACUGAGACACGGUCCAAACUCCUACGGGAGGCAGCAGUGAGGAAUAUUGGUCAAUGGGCGGAAGCCUGAACCAGCCAAGUAGCGUGCAGGAUGACGGCCCUAUGGGUUGUAAACUGCUUUUAUACAGGAAUAAAGUUAGCCACGUGUGGUUAUUUGUAGGUACUGUAUGAAUAAGGACCGGCUAAUUCCGUGCCAGCCGCCGCGGUAA